UACGUACCGUACGAACGUUAUUCGGAAUUACUGGGCUUAAAGGGUUUGUAGGCGGCCUUGUAAGUCAGGUGUGAAAUCCCUCGGCUCAACCGAGGAAUAGCGCUUGAUACUGCAAGGCUUGAGGGAGACAGGGGUAAGCGGAACUGAUGGUGGAGCGGUGAAAUGCGUAGAUAUCAUUUGGAACGCCAAUGGUGAAAACAGGUAGCUGGGGCUGUGCUGACACUGAGACACGAAAGCCAGGGGAGCAAACGGG
rnacentral:rRNA from 1 species